UACGUAGGGUGCGAGCGUUGUCCGGAAUUAUUGGGCGUAAAGAGCUCGUAGGCGGCUUGUCGCGUCGGAUGUGAAAGCCCGGGGCUUAACUCCGGGUCUGCAUUCGAUACGGGCAGGCUAGAGUGUGGUAGGGGGAGAUCGGAAUUCCUGGUGUAGCGGUGAAAUGCGCAGAUAUCAGGAGGAACACCGGUGGCGAAGGCGGAUCUCUGGGCCAUUACUGACGCUGAGGAGCGAAAGCGUGGGGAGCGAACAGG
rnacentral:rRNA from 1 species